UACGUAGGCAGCGAGCGUUGUUCGGAAUUACUGGGCGUAAAGAGUGUGUAGGCGGUGCUCUAAGUUCGGUGUGAAAUCUCCCGGCUUAACUGGGAGGGGUCGCCCUAGACUGGGCGUCUUGAGGACAGCAGAGGUGGGUGGAAUUCCUGGUGUAGCAGUGAAAUGCGUAGAUAUCAGGAGGAAUACCGAUGGCGAAGGCAGGUCUCUGGGCUGACACUGACGCUCAUGCACGAAAGCGUGGGGAGCAAACAGG
rnacentral:rRNA from 1 species